UAUUCAUUCUUUCCAGAAAGGCGCCACAUGCAUAUUUCUGCCGUGGCCCCAGAUCCUCCCCUCACCGCCGUUUUGAGCGUUUACACUCAUUACCCAGGUCCGUCUGGGAGACCUGCCGGGCUCCUGCCCUCCUGGCCCGCAGCCUCCUGGCCAAAAUCCUCCCGGGACACCCCACCUGCACUGCUGUGAACGGACCUCCACCCGCCUCCCCAGACCCGCAGCCCCCACCCCGCUCCCUCAAGGUUCUGGGGUGAAGGGGUCUGAAUGGCACUAGGGGAGGCGGCAGGGCGGGCCUGCCCUACCUGCGCCCGAGCACUGCUGAGACAACAUCCCUUCCAGCGCCGCCACGUAGUCCAGCCCCAGCCAGUCGCGGUCCUGGAAGCACCGCAAGCAGACCUGCUUCUCACUGGCCUCAGGCAGGGUCACCCGCCCGGUGCCGCUUGCUGCAAAUUGCUUUACAUACAGUGACCCAAAGAGCAAGUAAUUUCAGGGCCCCACGACUCUGAAUGGAAGUCAUAAGCUUGACAGCUGAUUGGCCUCUGUCACCCAAGCCAGUGUGGGGACACUGGGCCCGCAUGUGCCACGGGAAGAGGCGUUCAGAAGCACUGUGGUGCUCCAGCUCCUGGAUGCAGGCCUGAGGCCUGAGAUGUCCAGGAAGAAAGACCCAGAAACGAGGGAUCGUGUGGGUGGGAUUCCUGAGUGUUCUGCUAGGGCCUGCUCAGCGUUUCUUGGCCUUUUCCAUAAGGCUGUCUCACUCUAUCUUACAGAUAUCUCCCCACAAACCUAAACAAUUUCGAGAGGGACUUGUGUUCUGCAACCAGUCACAGAAUAUCGGGUGAGCUGGGCGUGUCUUCACUGACCCACCCGCCCAGGGAUGCUGCACUCCUCUCCACCCUGCUCAGAAUCACUGGAAUGUGGCUACAGCCCUAAAAGAGCUACUAAAAAGACCAGAAGUAGUAUGAGAACUUACGAAUACAAAUAUAAAUAAAGGACAGCUGGAGAACAUGCA